rnacentral:lncRNA from 1 species
AUGGGAAAAGCUCCAAUGCAGUUUUCCUGGUUUUGCAAUGUCCAAGGAUACAAUUGGCGGAGUUUCUUUUGUUUUAAAAAACAUGAUAAACAAGUACAGAAUGUGCGCAAGCAGGAAGAAACUGACCUAAAGGUAAAUUUUCAUUAUGUGAAAUUUGUCAUUAAGAUUUAUGUGCGUAUCUCCAUUUUAAUUACUAGGGAAUGAGCUUUUAAAAUAAUCUCUAAGACCCUUUCGCAGUUUUCACUGUCAAGGGUUAUAUUAGCAUAGGCCAAUCUAAGCUUUUAAAUAUUGUCUCUCUUGAUCUCUAGCUAUUUGAUGACGCCUCUGCUUCUUUUAUACCCCAAAGCUGCUGGUGUCUGACUGGACAGAAACUCAAGUUGGCCAUUGGUUAAAGAGUAUUGGAAUGAAAAAAUAUAUCCUGAAAUUUGAUUAUAAAAGAGUAAGCAGUCAAGAACUUCUUGAAUUAGACAAUGAUGCAUUAAAAGUAAGCUUCAGAAUUGGCUUUUUAUAUAUGCUACAUACAAUUAUAUAUUAACUUAUUUUAUGGUGGGCAUUGGAUGAAAAACAGUACAAAUAAUGGGAUUCCUAUAUAUGGCCUAUUUGACAACCUUAUGGUUUUAAGGAAAACAUGUUAACUACUUUUUUGAAUGUAGUUUCAAGAAAUGUUUUUAAUGUGAUUUGCUC